GAGGGUCUAAGUGCGACUUCCUCUUUUCUGGGUCCCGCCUGCUGGCGCGGGAUCUCGGCCGGGUGGUCGGUUCUCGCGAGUUCCUCGUAGCCUUUGGUGCCGGGAGGUUCCUUUCAGAGCCAGACGCAAGAGCGGAGGCUUGGAUCUUUUUUCGAGCGGUUGCUGGCUGCACCGGGGGUGUGACGAGCCGUGGGACCUAGCUCUGAGGAAAAAGUAAAGCAUACCUGGGAGAUUCCAUGUCCAGUGGACUCUGGAAUCACGACUCUGAAAUCAAGGGUUGGACACUUAUACUGAACCACCCAGGCGCCCUAAAGCUCACGUCUUAAACAGAAGGUCAGGUCCCUAUACUGGAAGAACAGUGAAAGCCAUGGUGAAUGAUUCUAGACAAGGGCUUUCUGAGCCUAAGGAGUCGUGAACAGAUGGAUGAGGGAUGACAUGUCAGUUUCUCAAUCUAAAGCGCUGGCUAAGACAACUAUGCUUCUCACCUUCCUUCAAUAACCUCAAAGCUGGAUUGUUUUUGGUGACCAAUCCUAUUGCCACACCUGCGACAGCAGAUGAAAUUGGAACUCCUAUAAUUGAGAAGAAGAGCUUGUAUGUAAUGUGUACAUCAACCUAACACACAUAUUUAUCAUUCUGUUGAUACUUAAUAUGUGAGUGGUGUUUUAAAUUUGACAUCAUCAGAACGAAGCUGGAAAGGUCAUCUAUCUACCUCAUUUCUUCUUAAGCAUAUGAAAAAAGCCCCUUAAAACAAAUAAACAGGGUCAUACUGACCAUGCAUUUAGGGAAUAAAUUGGAUUUGAUGACACACGCAUCCACUGUCAACUCCAUAUCCUGAAGUGAAAUGUUUCCCACUUCAGAGUCCGAGUCUCCGCAAAUAAAGGCGACGAAAGUCAGUUGGACUGACUCAGCUGGAAAAAGGAGCCGGAAAGGGGUAAAAGGGAGGACCGAGAAGCAAAGGACACGAGGCUGAAACAGUGCGGGAAGGAGAAUGGUGCCAGGAGACAUACACCAAAUCCAGAAAGACAUACCCCAAAUCCAAAAAAGCCAGAAAUCUGGCAUUUAGGUUUGGGGUAAAGAGGGGUAAAUGAGACCCGCGCUGCCAGAUUCCUAGGCUGGGAAAUCAAUGUACCUCGGGCUGCCUGGACGGGACGCCUUGUUAAAGGACACAGGACGCACGUUGUUCCUUACCUGCUGC